GUGCAUUUUCUGAGUGUGAAGAGGAUUUGGGUAGGCAAGACUAGAGAACAGCAGGAAGUCAUUGCCUAUUAAAUUUUUAUUUCCAGCCAUUCACUGAUGUAUUGGUAAGAGGACAGGAGUCCUGGGGAAAGACUGCCUCAUUUACACUCCAAAGACUUGGGUUCUGAUCUCCAUGUCGUGGCUUAUCAUAGUGUAAGCCAGUUAUGUACCUCUAGAAAUGGAAGUUUCUGCUGUUUAUAAACUGGAAAUAAUGAUACAUGUCCUGACUCCUAUUGGGUUGUUGCAAAGGAAUCAAUUGAAAUAAGACAAGACUUUCUGAAGGCACUUUGCCAACUUUCAGAACUGUAAAGAUUAAGGGACUGCUACUAUGUGCUGCUCAGGAAAUAACAGGCACCUGGGAAAACCCACGAAGUAAGGUUUUGUAAGAAGUUGCUCUGCUCCCUGGGAGAAAACGCGGAGCUCAACACUGCCAAGAGGAACAAGUCUGGGAAAUUACGACAUGAGGGCCCUUGUGAAUUGAUGAAUAUGAAGACACUAAGAAAGCAGAAAUAGAACUGAGAAGAAUGAAAUAACUGUCUCUACCUUUCUCGAAUUGUCUAAUAUGGAAAGAAUGAAAGACAGCUAAUAAGCAACUCUCUGCAAGAAGACAUAUGGCUUAGGUUCUGCUGAGCUAUUGGUGAUUUGAUUCCAUGCAUAUGUAUUCACUACUGGUAUAAGUAUAUACAAUAUAUGUGUUUCUGCAAAGAAUCGUAGACUUGAUGCAUUUUUUAAUAUUUCUUAAGGACUUACUACUGAGUGUCAGUAUGAGAGGAUCGUUUACUUCCUUUUCCCAUUAAUUUUGAUAGCCUGGAUUGAGCAACUUUCUUACCUAGUUUUGUUUUAUGAGGUGCAUUAGCUUUUUCUUUGUGUGUAUGUUUGUGUGUGUGUAGCUUUAUUAACCAUAUUGUUUGGGCUUUUGAUAAAGCAGAGAUUCUGAUAUGGUAUACAUUUUGAACUAAGCAUUCAUUUAUUCAGCAGGGAUGUAUGUUUAAGACACUGUGUUAGCCAAGGGUGAGAAGGCGUGUGGAAUGGUAGAGGAGCAAGGUGAGGUAAGAUGAUUAAAAGACACCAGCUGAGAGUGUUAUUUUAUAUGGCAGAAGGAUGUUUGCAGAUGCAAUUAAGUUAAGGACCUUGAGAUGGGGUAUGUUAUCCUGGUAGGCCCAAUGUAUACAUCAGGGUCCUUAUGAAAGGGAGGCAGGAGAACAGAAUGAGUAGUGAGAAGAGUGAAUGGACAAUACUGAGGACAUGCUUAGGGACCCAAAGAAGCUUGCUAUGGUAGGGCUUGGUGGACUCUGUACUGAUGAGAAAGGCUAGGCCAUGCUAUGGAAGCAAAUAAAUCUGUUGUAAAGUGACAGAGUUUCUCUCUUGCUCAUGCAAAGUCUGCUAAAUGGCUGAGUGAUUCUCAAGGGCAUCCCUCACUCAUGUGAUGGCUCUGCUGUGUGUGCAUCCCUGCUAGCCAGGCAGGUCAGGAGAAUGUUAGAAAUGAAACACUUCCUUCUGGUGGCCAAAAGAAGUCACAUGGCUACAUCUGUUAAUAAUUCGAAGGUUGUAGACAGUAUAAUAUUCCCUUGUCCUAAAAGAGGGAAGCUAGAAAUAUUGGUAAGCAGCACAUAUAUCUUCCCCAUGAUCCCAACUUUGUUGGGUAGAGAAGCAUUUUAAAUAACUUUGGAAUUUACAUAUAUUCCUCAAAUAUCUAGUGGUAACUCCAUGUCUAAAUCCAGGGUACCCACUUUCUUCCCUAAACAUGUUUGAAAGUCCUGCAUUCUCUCAGUAUUGUUACAGAGCCACAUUUCAGUUGAAUUGGUAGUGCUGAGAAAAGCGUUAUUUAUUUUAUUUUUAUUUUAGUUUUUUUUAGAGACUGGGUUUUGCUGUGUUGCCCCGGCUGAUCUUGCACUCCUGGUCUCAAGUGCUCCUCCUAUCUCAGCCAUCCGAAUAGCUGGUAUUACAUGUGCACACCAUAAUGAGAAAAGCAUUAUGAUUAACCUAGUAAAUUGAUUUUUAAUACUGCAUUAUUUGAUUUUCAAGGACUUAAAAAACCACUUCCAGAGAGCUAGACACAAUGAAUACAAGCAAGCUAAUAAUGAAAGUGAGAAACCACAUGCUGCUGAAUUGAGUAUGUAGCAACAUUUGUAAAGAAAUGGCAAAUCAUAUCUAAUUAUUUCAUUGUGCUUACCUUUCUUCAGUCAGAAAGCCUUCGGCAUCUAGUGCAUUUCUACAGAUAUUCCGUGGUGAUUUAAUAUCAAUUAAUAUCAACCUGCAGCAAAGUGUUGACAGUGUUUCUAAAUUCACAAGCCCAACAUUUUGCAGUAUUGGGCAUAAGUGAAGGAGCUUUCCAGGUUGCUGCUAAAAGCAACUCAAAAAGAUGCGAAGUAGAUGUGAAACCUUCAUAUUUGGUACUUCUAUAGCAGAUUGUCUUCUCUCCUAGAAGAGAGGCCAGGAGACAGACUAACCCAUUUCUCUAAUCCAUAUGUUGUUCGCUGAGGCUCCCAAAGCUCUGGGAAGUAAUUUACUUGCAGUUCUCUAGAGAUGGAGGCAGGGAGCUUGAGUGUGAGUCCAGUGGAGACUGUCUUUGGAAUUUCAUCUGAUCACAGGGUCACUGUCCAUUUCUCUUCUCAGCAGGCCUAGGAAAACACCAGGACUAACCCCCUGGAGGGAGCCUAGCUUCAGGAUUAAUUAGGGCUUGAUUAAUUAAUUAAGGUAUGAAUCGAGGGCUUAAACAGUAGUUAACUAAGAAAUAUGUAUUUGUUUUACAAAAGUUAAAAUUUAUGGAACAGUAUAUUAAGAAUUGCUUUUAUUUUAUAAUAUAAUGUGUUAAUGUUAAGUUCUUUCCAUACAUUCUUUCGUUUAAAGCACACACAAAAAUGCAGAUGUGGCCAGGUGCAGUGGCUCACGUCUGUAAUCCUAGCACUUUGGGAGGCUGAGGAAGGCGGAUCACCUGAGGUCAGGAGUUCGAGACCAGCCUGGCCAACAUGGUGAAACCCCAUCUCCAUUAAAAAUACAAAAAUUAGCCGGGCAUGGUGGCAUGCACCUGUAAUCCCAGCUACUUGGGAGGCUGAGGCAGGAGAAUCACUUGAACCUAGGAGGGGGAGGUUGCAGUGAGCCAAGAUCGCACCACUGCACUCCAGCCUGGGCGACAGAGCGAGAAUCCAUCUAAAGAAAAAAAUGCAGAUGAAGGGCCUGCCUUGAUUGUCCUGUGAACAGUUUGUGUGCAGUGGGGAGGCUGAAGGUCUGGCCUCCUUUGCUUCUGGUGUCUUCACCGCCACCACUUCUGCCCCUGUGUCUCUAUAUAGUGUAAGGGAUUGGUAUUAAUUAUUUCCCAUUUUACAGAUGAGGAAACUGAAAUCCAGAGAAAUGGAGUGAGUUGGCCAAGUGCACACAGCUCAUUUCUUACCUAGUAUUUACUGUUCACACACUGUAUAGACCCUUUAAUAAGCUAAUCUAAAAGAUUAAUCUAAAAGAUUAGAUACAUUACCUCGUUUCAGUGCCACUAUAGCCUGGCAUUGUACAUAUCACUAUCUUCCUGUCGAAUAGGAAGGUUCUUAAAUUCUGAGACAUUUGGUAACAUGCCUGAGUUAUGUGUAAAAGCUUAGAUUUGAAUUUGAGCCUCCUGACUUGAAUCUUGCGUUUGACCAUACCACAUCUGCACCUAGCUGUUGGAGGAAUCAGAACGCCCAAGACCCAGAUAACUCUAAAUAAGGCCCAGUCUGAGUCGUGCUUCAUGGUUAGGUUCAUAAGUUCAGUGCUGAAAAGGCUGAUUUUUCCUGUUUUUCUAGGGUCUGUUUGCUGGAUUUAAGAUACGCUCUCUCCAGAAAUAUGACAAAACAAUUGUUUUGUUUGCUCAUUUUUUGUUUUGUUUUGUUUUUCGUUCUUACAAGGUAACUAGUAUCCCUAGCACACCAGAAAUAAUUGGCACUGAUGUUCCUGACAAGAGGAGUCUGCUAAAAGUGACCUUUAAAUGCCUUUUGGUGGAGUGAUUAUUUAAUUUAGGCAGUUUCUUUUCUCAGAAAGGAAUUAACAGUUUCUACGGGCUUUGCUAGCUGAGACCUUUAGUUUUAAUCACCUCCUUGAAAACAUUCUCCUUAAUCUAUUCUGAGUAAGAUGGUGGGUUUCUUUGUACUUUGGCCUUUAACUUUUUUUUUUUUUUGAGACAAGCUCUAUCACCCAGGCUGGAGUAUAAUGUCACGAUCAUAGCUCACUAUAAACUUAAACUCCAGGGUUCAGCCGUGGAACACAGGUGAUCUUCUUGACUCAGCCUUUUGAGUAGCUGGGACUACAGGCCCACCACACUGUCUAAUUUUUUAUUUAUUUAUUUUUGUAGAGAUGGGAUCUUGCUAUGUGGCCCAGGCUGGCCUCAAACUCCUGGCCUCAAGAUAUUUCCCCCUGCCUUGGCCUCUCAAAGUGGUAGGAUUACAGAUGGGUCUUUAAUUUUGAAAUGCACAGAUUAAGGAGUUUACUAACCACUGAAUAGACCACUCUUUUUCUUAUCUUACUCAGAAUCUACUUGGAGAGAGUCAAACACAGAAUCCCUUUGAAUUUAAUGGCCAUUCCAGGUGAUUUGAACAGCCAAAUAAGAAACAGGUCCUCUUCAAUGUACAAUCUGCCAAGUAUGAAGUCUGAAUGACCAUCAUUAUUAUGUAUUUAAUGUGCAUAGAAAAUCUAUCUGCAACCUUCCAGAGUGUACCAGAAGUUUGGAAUGUACAUUAUUAUUGGCUCCAUCUCAAACCACUCAUAAAUCAAAGAAAAUAGCAGUUCCAGAGGAAUCAUCAUAGAGGCUUCUAGGCCCCCAUGCUGUGUGAACCUGGUGAGAAAGGGAAGUCUGCUCUCACUGGACACUGGAACUGUUUGUCUCUGUCUCUGCUGUACUUUCCCUGCCUCUACCUCACUUAGUAAAGAAAUCAUCUUUGCUUGAUAACUAAAACAACCAAUAAGGCUGAGAAAGGGGAAAACCCACAUCUGGAUUUAAAUACAAGGUAUUGGGCCAGCUGCUGGGGAUUAAACUUUGAACAAAACAGAUAGAAUCUAUGUCCUCAUGGGAGUGGCUAAUGGGAGAGUCGGAACAAAAAAAUAGCCAAGGAUAAUCCAGCAAAUGAUUUGGUGAAUGCUAUCAAAGAGAGAAAUACACAUGCUCUGGGAACACCAAGUAGGUACCUAAUACCUAACCUGUACCUGGGGGGCUGGAAAGGGCUUCUUGGAAGAGGCAGAGACUAAAAUGAAGAAUAAGCAUAAGUUAAGACAAAGCUGGGGUGGGGUCAGAAAGAGUGUGAUAGGCCAACGCAGCAACAUGAGCCAAGACUCAAAAAUAAGAGACAGUGUGGCACAUUUGAUGUAGGAAAGACAUUUAGCUGGGAUAGAAAGAAGGCUAGUGUUGGGGCUGAAUGAGGUUGCAUAAAAGUUUGUAAGCCAAGUUAAGGAAUUGAUCAAAUUUAUAUUUUAGAAUGAUCACUCUGACCUCAGCAUUACAUGACCUGAAGGGGUUAAGCCCAUACAUCUGUAGAGAGACCCGUUAGAAUAGGACUGCAGUAAUAUGGUGAGAGACACUGGUGCCUAACUAGGCUGGUGAUCAUAGAGAUAAAGGGAUAUAUGGGAGAGGUAGAGCCGACAGCCAUUGAUAACUGGUGGUCGGCCAGGUCAAGGGGACAGUGUCUGCUUUAGGUAAUUGGCUUGAUGAUAAUCUCAUUUUCAAAGAUCAGGAACACAGGCCUGAGAGUACAUUUGGAGAGGAAGAUGAUUCGGGUUUGCAUCAUGUAGGGUUCGAGGUGUCUAUGGGACACUAUAUGCAGAAGUCCAGUAGGCAAUUGGUUCUGUGGGCCUAGCACUCAGAGGAGAGUGCGAGUCUAAUGACAGAAAAUUGGCAGUCACCAUCGUGUAGAUGGUAAUGGAUGGUAUGAUUUGGGGUGAUUGCUGAGGCAGGAACAUGGGCACAAUGCUGAGGAGUGCAAAUGGCUAAGGGAUGGGACACAGCAGGAACCUGCAAAGGAGCCCAGAAAACAAGAAAUAGGGAGAAAGCCUGGGAACACUGUGAUUCUACGGAAUCACAGAAUUGAAGACAAACAAUGUGAAACUAAGUACAGGCCCAUUUACUAACAUAUGUGUGUGUAUAUAUAUAUAUAUAUAUAUAUAUAUACACACACACACAUAUAUAUACUUAUAUAUAUAUACACACACAUAUAUAUACUUAUAUAUAUAUACACUUAUAUAUAUAUACUUAUAUAUACUUAUAUAUAUAUACACUUAUAUAUAUAUACUUAUAUAUACUUAUAUAUAUAUACACUUAUAUAUAUAUACUUAUAUAUACUUAUAUAUAUAUAUAUAAAAUUUAUUUAUUUAUUUUUAUUUUAUUUUAUUUAUUUAUUUUUGAGACAGAGUCUCCCUCUCUGACCCAGGCUGGAGUGCCGUGGUAUGAUCUCGGCUCACUGCAACUUCUGCCUCCCAGCUUCAAGCAAUUCUCCUGUCUUAGCUUCCCAAGUAGCUGGGAUUACAGGCGUGCACCACCACACCAGGCUAAUUUUGUAUUUUUAGUAGAGACGGGGUUUUGCCAUGUUGGCCAGGCUGGUCUCGAACCCCUGACCUCAGGUGAUCUGCCCACCUCAACCUCCCAAAGUGCUGGGAUUACAGGUGUGAGCCACUGCAUCUGGCCUCAUAUAUUUUACUAUAACAAAUCAGUGUAGGCCAAAUAAAGUUAGAAAUGGAAGCUAAUGGAAAUAAAGAAUAGGCUUUCCUGUUAGUAUCUAUAGGUGUGUGUGUGUGUGUUCGUUAUUUAGGGAAAGAAACAGGGAACUUGGGGCAUAUAAUAUUUAUGUUCCCUUAGCUUAGGCAUAUAUGGUAUAUUUAGUUACUUAAUUAAUUUUUUAUUUAGAAGUUAUGUAUAGAGCAUUUUUCCUAGGCCAGUGGGGGAUUAAACCAGAAAUAUAAGAAGUGUCUGCCUUCUGGAAGCUUGUGAUCUAGUUAGGGGUAUCACAAGUGCACAGCGUUCACCAGUGGCAGAGAAGCAUGUGAUGAGUACCCAGAGCUUAUAUUGAGAAUAAGGUAUACAAGAAUUUAGAGGAGGCCAAUGUUGAUUUUCACCAAGAGUAUGGGACAGAGAGACAAGACAGGGUUGGUCAUCUAGUUCUGUGCACUGAAUAUAAUUUUGCAGGUUUAGGAGUGUUUGAAAACUACAAGGAAGAUAGAAUCUUGGUCUUGUUCUCCAGCAUGCCCUUUCUUGAACUCACCAGGGUAAUGCUGCAUCUUUUCAGAAAUGCCUCUGGCUUCUCAAAGCAACUUUCAUCCUGGAGAGGAACAAUUAGUCUUUGUCUUUCAUUAGUAAAAGAUUUAACGGCUCAGAAGGAGAAGCUAGUGGUGACUUUUCAAUCACCCCUUCUACCUCCCAG
rnacentral:lncRNA from 1 species